CCUCCCUCAGGAAACGACAUUAGGACGUAAUACACUAGGGGGACAUCGAGCGCUACGAACGAUAUCGUCUUUAGACAACCUAUCUACAACAUGAUUGGUCGCCUUCUCGUAGUCCUCCAGUACAUCCUCUAGCUCCUCUUCCGAUAGAGAUGAAGGAAGGCCAACGAUGUCACGAAGACCACAUCCGGACCAAAGCUCCUCGAUGAACACCAAAGUCAAUGAUAUCUCGGACACGACACGAGAUGUUGUCCAAGCGCUUACUAAGGAGGAGCCAUGAGCCCCGACGUACUUCUCAACUUUCCCCAAACAGUGGCACAUUUUCUCCAAUUCGUCUUCUAGAACUAAAAGGAAAAGGGAGGGAGGUAAGAAAGGAGUUAAAACAGCCAAUAAGGAACGAUGAACGAGCGACCUACCAGCUACACGGAUGUUAGACUCGGCAAGCUAGGCCCGGAGCAGUCCAGCCUCAGCCUCGGCCGCCUUUAGCGCCGCGCGAAAAGCCUCAUGGCUCUCCCGGGACUCCUAGGGGAGAGGGAUAGGCUCCAAUGGGCCCGACCACAACGACCGGACAGAAGGUGAUGCCUCCCACCCGAAUGUUUCAGGGGUCGUCCUGCGACAAGAAAGGCAGGCGUCAGAAUCACCCACAGAAGGGGAAAGGAAGUGCUCGGAGGAGGAGGAAUCAUACCCAGACCCGAUCCAGC
rnacentral:lncRNA from 1 species